rnacentral:rRNA from 1 species
AGAGUUUGAUCCUGGCUCAGAAUCAACGCUGGCGGCGCGCUUAACACAUGCAAGUCGAGCGAGAAAGGGGAGCAAUCCCUGAGUAAAGCGGCGUACGGGUGAGUAACACGUGGAUAAUCUACCUUUUAGUGGGGAAUAACUUUGGGAAACCGAAGCUAAUACCGCAUAAGCCUGAGAAGGGAAAGCAGCAAUGCGCUGGAAGAGGAGUCCGCGGCCGAUUAGCUAGUUGGUGGGGUAAGAGCCUACCAAGGCGACGAUCGGUAGCCGGCCUGAGAGGGCACACGGCCACACUGGCACCGAAACACGGGCCAGACUCCUACGGGAGGCAGCAGUGGGGAAUCUUGCACAAUGGAGGCAACUCUGAUGCAGCGACGCCGCGUGAGCGAUGAAGCCCUUCGGGGUGUAAAGCUCUUUCGACGGGGACGAUAAUGACGGUACCCGGAGAAGAAGCUGCGGCUAACUACGUGCCAGCAGCCGCGGUAAUACGUAGGCAGCGAGCGUUGUUCGGAAUUACUGGGCGUAAAGAGUGUGUAGGCGGUGCUCUAAGUUCGGUGUGAAAUCUUCUGGCUUAACUGGGAGGGUGCGCCGGAAACUGGAGUGCUUGAGCGUGGGAGAGGAAAGCGGAAUUCCUGGUGUAGCGGUGAAAUGCGUAGAUAUCAGGAGGAACACCUGCGGUGUAGACGGCUUUCUGGACCAUGGCUGACGCUGAGACACGAAAGCGUGGGUAGCAAACAGGAUUAGAUACCCUGGUAGUCC